GGCCGGCAUGGUCCCAGCCUCCUCGCUGGCGCCGGCUGGGCAACAUUCGUGGCGAAUGGGACC
rnacentral:misc_RNA from 1 species